UAAGCAACCAACAACCACCUCA
rnacentral:piRNA from 1 species